rnacentral:rRNA from 1 species
GACGAACGCUGGCGGCGUGCCUAACACAUGCAAGUCGAACGGGGUAUGAAUAAUACCUAGUGGCGAACGGGUGAGUAACGCGUGAGCAACCUGACCUUUUGAGGGGGAUAACAACCGGAAACGGUUGCUAAUACCGCAUAAGACCACAGAGCCGCAUGGCUUAGAGGUCAAAGGAGUAAUCCGCAGAAGGAGGGGCUCGCGUCCCAUUAGAUAGUUGGUGAGGUAACGGCCCACCAAGUCAGCGAUGGGUAGCCGAGCUGAGAGGCUGAUCGGCCACACUGGAACUGAGACACGGCCCAGACUCCUACGGGAGGCAGCAGUGGGGAAUUUUGGACAAUGGGCGAAAGCCUGAUCCAGCCAUGCCGCGUGCGGGAAGAAGGCCUUCGGGUUGUAAACCGCUUUUGGCAGGAACGAAAUGGCGCUGACUAAUACUCGGCGCUAAUGACGGUACCUGCAGAAUAAGCACCGGCUAACUACGUGCCAGCAGCCGCGGUAAUACG